AGAGUUUGAUCCUGGCUCAGAACGAACGCUGGCGGCGUGCUUAACACAUGCAAGUCGAACGAGAACGAUUAACUUCGGUUGAUCAAGUAAAGUGGCGCACGGGUGAGUAACGCGUAGAUAAUCUACCCUUGUGUUGGGGAUAACCGGACGAAAGUCCAGCUAAUACCCGAUACGGUCUUUGGUAUGCAGAUACUGAAGAAGAAAGGUUGCCUCUGAUUUAAGCAAUCGCACGGGGAUGAGUCUGCGUACCAUUAGCUAGUUGGUAGGGUAAUGGCCUACCAAGGCAACGAUGGUUAGCGGGUCUGAGAGGAUGAUCCGCCACACUGGAACUGGAACACGGACCAGACUCCUACGGGAGGCAGCAGUGAGGAAUUUUGCGCAAUGGGGGCAACCCUGACGCAGCGACCCCGCGUGGGUGAUGAAGGCUUUUGAGUCGUAAAGCCCUGUCAAGUGGGAAGAAGUGCAGUAACAUUAAUAGUGUUAUUGUUUGACGGUACCACUAAAGGAAGCACCGGCUAACUCCGUGCCAGCAGCCGCGGUAAUACGGAGGGUGCAAGCGUUGUUCGGAAUUACUGGGGCGUAAAGGGCGCGUAGGCGGUACUGUAAGUCAGGUGUUGAAAGUCCUGGGCUCAACCCCAGGAAGUGCAUCUGAAACUGCAGAACUUGAGUAUCGGAAGGGGAAAGUGGAAUUCCACGGGGUAGAGGUGAAAUUCGUAGAUAUCUGGAGGGACACCGGUGGCGAAGGCGACUUCUGGACGAUACUGACGCUGAGCGCGAAAGCGUGGGGAGCAAACAGGAUUAGAUACCUGGUAGUCCACAGCUGUAAACGAUGUGCAUUAGAUGUAGGGGGUGUUGACCCCUCCUGUGUCGCAGCUAACGCAUUAAAUGCACCGCCUGGGGAGUACGGUCGCAAGAUUAAAACUCAAAGGAAUUGACGGGGGCCCGCACAAGCGGUGGAGUAUGUGGUUUAAUUCGACGCAACGCGAAGAACCUUACCUGGUCUUGACAUCCCAAGAACGUCUAUGAAAGUAGAAAUUGCCUCCAAUCGGAGGAGCUUGGUGACAGGUGCUGCAUGGCUGUCGUCAGCUCGUGUCGUGAGAUGUUGGGUUAAGUCCCGCAACGAGCGCAACCCACGUCUUUAGUUGCCAUCAUUAAGUUGGGCACUCUAAAGAGACUGCCGGUGUCAAACCGGAGGAAGGUGUGGAUGACGUCAAGUCCUCAUGGCCUUUAUGACCAGGGCUACACACGUACUACAAUGGGCGGAACAAAGGGCAGCGAACUCGCGAGAGUAAGCGAAUCUCAUAAAACCGUUCUCAGUCCGGAUCGGAGUCUGCAACUCGACUCCGUGAAGUUGGAAUCGCUAGUAAUCGUGGAUCAGCAUGCCACGGUGAAUACGUUCCCGGGCCUUGUACACACCGCCCGUCACACCACGGGAGUUGGUUGUACCAGAAGACGUUGAGCUAACCUUCGGGAGGCAGGCGUCCAAGGUAUGGUCGGUAACUGGGGUGAAGUCGUAACAAGGUAACCGUA
rnacentral:rRNA from 1 species